GACGAACGCUGGCGGCGUGCUUAACACAUGCAAGUCGAACGGAAAGGCCCUGCUUUUGUGGGGUGCUCGAGUGGCGAACGGGUGAGUAACACGUGAGUAACCUGCCCUUGACUUUGGGAUAACUUCAGGAAACUGGGGCUAAUACCGGAUAGGAGCUCCUGCUGCAUGGUGGGGGUUGGAAAGUUUCGGCGGUUGGGGAUGGACUCGCGGCUUAUCAGCUUGUUAGUGGGGUAGUGGCUUACCAAGGCUUUGACGGGUAGCCGGCCUGAGAGGGUGACCGGCCACAUGGGGACUGAGAUACGGCCCAGACUGCUACGUGAGGCAGCAGUGGGGAAUAUUGCACAAUGGGCGGAAGCCUGAGGCAGAAGCGCCGCGUGCGGGAUGACGGCCUUCGGGUUGUAAACAGCUUUCGCCUGUGACGAAGCGGGAGUGACGGUAAUGGGUAAAGAAGCACCGGCUAACUACGUG
rnacentral:rRNA from 1 species